rnacentral:rRNA from 1 species
GGGUUCGAUUCCGGAGAGGGAGCCUGAGAAACGGCUACCACNNCCAAGGAAGGCAGCAGGCGCGCAAAUUACCCAAUCCCAAUACGGGGAGGUAGUGACAAUAAAUAACAAUAUGGGGCUCUUACGGGUCUCGUAAUUGGAAUGAGUACAAUUUAAAUCUCUUAACGAGGAACAAUUGGAGGGCAAGUCUGGUGCCAGCAGCCGCGGUAAUUCCAGCUCCAAUAGCGUAUAUUAAAGUUGUUGCAGUUAAAAAGCUCGUAGUUGAAUUUCGGAGUUUGUCGGUUGGUCGGGCUUCACUGUCCGCACUGGCCUGAUGGAUUCCUACCUUCUGAAUAACCAGCAUGCUAUUAAGUUAGUGCGUUGGGGAAGCAGAGCUAUUACCUUGAAAAAAUUAGAGUGCUUAAAGCAGGCUUAUGCUUGAAUAGAUUAGCAUGGAAUAAUAAAAUAGGACGGCAUGGUUCUAUUUUGUUGGUUUCUAGGAUCACCGUAAUGAUUAAUAGGGAUAGUUGGGGGCAUUAGUAUUCAAUUGUCAGAGGUGAAAUUCUUGGAUUUAUUGAAGACUAACUUCUGCGAAAGCAUUUGCCAAGGAUGUUUUCAUUAAUCAAGAACGAAAGUUAGGGGAUCGAAGACGAUCAGAUACCGUCGUAGUCUUAACCAUAAACUAUGCCGACUAGGGAUCGGACGAUGUUAAUUUUUUAAUGACUCGUUCGGCGCCUUACGGGA